UAGGGAAUCUUCCACAAUGGACGAAAGUCUGAUGGAACAACGCCGCGUGAGUGAAGAAGGGUUUCGGCUCGUAAAACUCUGUUGUUAAAGAAGAACAUAUCUGAGAGUAACUGUUCAGGUAUUGACGGUAUUUAACCAGAAAGCCACGGCUAACUACGUGUCAG
rnacentral:rRNA from 1 species